UACGGGGGGAGCAAGCGUUGUUCGGAUUUACUGGGCGUAAAGGGCGCGUAGGCGGCCAGCACAAGUCAGUUGUGAAAUCUCCGAGCUUAACUCGGAAAGGUCAACUGAUACUGUGCGGCUAGAGUGCGGAAGGGGCAACUGGAAUUCCUGGUGUAGCGGUGGAAUGCGCAGAUAUCAGGAGGAACACCGAUGGCGAAGGCAGCUCUCUGGGCCGUAACUGACGCUGAGGAGCGAAAGCAUGGGGAGCGAACAGG
rnacentral:rRNA from 1 species